rnacentral:rRNA from 2 species
CCUAUACAUGCAAGUCGAGCGAACUGAUUAGAAGCUUGCUUCUAUGACGUUAGCGGCGGACGGGUGAGUAACACGUGGGCAACCUGCCUGUAAGACUGGGAUAACUUCGGGAAACCGAAGCUAAUACCGGAUAGGAUCUUCUCCUUCAUGGGAGAUGAUUGAAAGAUGGUUUCGGCUAUCACUUACAGAUGGGCCCGCGGUGCAUUAGCUAGUUGGUGAGGUAACGGCUCACCAAGGCAACGAUGCAUAGCCGACCUGAGAGGGUGAUCGGCCACACUGGGACUGAGACACGGCCCAGACUCCUACGGGAGGCAGCAGUAGGGAAUCUUCCGCAAUGGACGAAAGUCUGACGGAGCAACGCCGCGUGAGUGAUGAAGGCUUUCGGGUCGUAAAACUCUGUUGUUAGGGAAGAACAAGUACGAGAGUAACUGCUCGUACCUUGACGGUACCUAACCAGAAAGCCACGGCUAACUACGUGCCAGCAGCCGCGGUAAUACGUAGGUGGCAAGCGUUAUCCGGAAUUAUUGGGCGUAAAGCGCGCGCAGGCGGUUUCUUAAGUCUGAUGUGAAAGCCCACGGCUCAACCGUGGAGGGUCAUUGGAAACUGGGGAACUUGAGUGCAGAAGAGAAAAGCGGAAUUCCACGUGUAGCGGUGAAAUGCGUAGAGAUGUGGAGGAACACCAGUGGCGAAGGCGGCUUUUUGGUCUGUAACUGACGCUGAGGCGCGAAAGCGUGGGGAGCAAACAGGAUUAG